AUAUUGUAAAACGAUGAAAAUUUUUCGGAGUUUAUUUUGAUAUACAACAGUGUUAACCUUAAAUUUUGCCUGAUGAAGUUGUGAAAUACAACGAAACGUUGCAACCUAUUUAAAAAUCUAACACUGAGUUAUUUUUCUUGUCCAAGUUCCUGAUAAUUUUAUUAUUACA